CUGUAGAGUCUGUCUGAAUCACAUGUGCCACAGCAUGGACAUGAGGACCUCUGCUCAAUUCCUGGGACUGGUGAUGCUCUGGCUCACAAGUGCCAGAUGUAACAUCCAAGUUACCCAGUCUCCAUCAUCCUUGUCUGCAUCCUUGGGAGACAGAGUUACCAUCACUUGUAAAGCAAGUCAGGAUAUUAGCAAGUAUAUGGCUUGGUACCAACAGAAACCAGGGGAAGUUCCUAAGCUCCUGAUCUAUUAUGCUUCCAAUUUGCAACCAGGUGUUCCCACAAGGUUCAGUGGCAGUGGCUCUGGUACGGAUUAUUCCUUUACCAUCAGCAGUGUGGAGUCUGAAGAUUUUGCAAUGUACUACUGUCAGCAAGGUUCUAACUUGUACCACAGUGAUAGAAGUCAUGACAAAAACCACUCAUAA